AUUGAACGCUAGCGGGAUGCCUUCCACAUGCAAGUCGAACGGAGUGGCGAACGGGAGAGUUAUGUAUCGGCUCGUACCCAGUAGCGGGGGAUAACUACGCGAAAGCGAAGCUAAUCUCGUAUACUUUUGGAGCGGCUGAUAUCGGAUUAGCUAGUUGGUGGGGUAACGGCGCACCAAGGCGACGAUCCGUAGCUGGUUUGAGAGGACGACCAGCCACACUGGGACUGAGACACGGCCCAGACUCCUACGGGAGGCAGCAGUGGGGAAUUUUGGACAAUGGGGGAAACCCUGAUCCAGCCAUCCCGCGUGUACGAUGAAGGCCUUCGGGUUGUAAAGUACUUUUGGCAGGAAAGCGGUACCUGCAGAAUAAGCACCGGCUAACUACGUGCCAGCAGCCGCGGUAAUAC
rnacentral:rRNA from 1 species